rnacentral:rRNA from 1 species
UCAAGAAACUUCCACGAUGGGCGAAAGCCUGAUGGAGCGACGUCGCGUGAUGGACGAAGUGCUUCGGCACGUAAACAUCUUUUAUGUGGGAUGAAAUUAUUGACAGUACCACAUGAAUAAGGGGCUCCUAACUCUGUGCCAGCAGGAGCGGUAAUACAGAGGCCCCAAGCGUUAUCCGGAAUCACUGGGCGUAAAGGGUGUCGAGGCGGUUGUAUUAGUCGUUCGUAAAAUCUACGAGCUUAACUUGUAGGCGGCGAACGAAACGGUACGACUUGAGGUUUGGAGAGGUGCGUGGAACUCACGGUGUAGGGGUGAAAUCCGUUGAUAUCGUGGGGAACACCAAAGGCGAAGGCAGCGCACUGGCCAAAAUCUGACGCUCACACACGAAAGCUAGGGUAGCGAAGAGGAUUAGAUACCCCCGUAGUCCCUGAGCGGGCUGGCAAGGCGCAU